UGGUGAGGUUGAGAGUACCUGAAGAAUAAGCACCGGCUAACUACGUGCCAGCAGCCGCGGUAAUACGUAGGGUGCAAGCGUUAAUCGGAAUUACUGGGCGUAAAGCGUGCGCAGGCGGACUUUUAAGCCAGAUGUGAAAGCCCCGAGCUUAACUUGGGAAUUGCGUUUGGAACUGGGAGUCUAGAGUCUGUCAGAGGGGGAUGGAAUUCCACGUGUAGCAGUGAAAUGCGUAGAGAUGUGGAGGAACACCGAUGGCGAAGGCAGUCCCCUGGGAUAAGACUGACGCUCAUGCACGAAAGCGUGGGGAGCAAACAGGAUUAGAUACCCUGGUAGUCCACGCCCUAAACGAUGUCUACUAGUUGUUGGGGUAGCAAUACCUCAGUGACGCAGCUAACGCGUGAAGUAGACCGCCUGGGGAGUACGGUCGCAAGAUUAAAACUCAAAGGAAUUGACGGGGGGC
rnacentral:rRNA from 1 species